GACGUAGACCCGAAACCGGGCGACCUACCCAUGAGCAGGAUGAAGCGAAAGUAAAAGUUCGUGGAGGUCCGAACCCACGAGCGUUGAAAAGCUCGGGGAUGACUUGUGGGUAGCGGUGAAAUUCCAAUCGAGCCCGGAGAUAGCUGGUUCUCCCCGAAAUAGCUUUAGGGCUAGCCUCAAGGUGAGAGAUACGGAGGUAGAGCACUGAAUGUCCUAGGGGGUAUUGCACCUACCGAAGACUAUCAAACUCCGAAUGCCGUCAUCUUAUACUUGGGAGUCAGACUGUGGGUGAUAAGAUUCAUAG
rnacentral:rRNA from 1 species